rnacentral:lncRNA from 1 species
CCCUCCAUGUCACUUCCACUUCAUCUGUCCUAUACCUCUGAGUAAUUCCAGAAUCUUUGAGAGGAGUCCUGUGCCCAGCCUGAAACAUCUCCCAACCAGCUUGUGCUAUCAUGGCUCCAUUGUCAAUGCAGAAUCUCUCAUCUGUUGCAAAAGAGCUGGGCUCCCCGCUCCUGGCACAUUGUCCCCAUCAUCUCCUGCAGCCCCAGGUUACAUCCAACUCCUCCGACGAUGAGGGCUUCUUUGGAGCCACAGUGUGCCAGGGCUCGCUCCGUGAUUUCCACUAGCAUUGCAAACACGGUUUCCUGUAAGGAGAAACACAGGUCUUCAGGAGUACACUCUCCAGUGGCCAGCAUUCGCUGCGCUGCAUCCGCUUUGCCAUCUGGUCAAUGUUGUAGCCUGGACUGGGGUCAUUGGAAAUCUUCAGCACCCGAGCAAAACGAUCCAGGCAGUUUCCCACAGCGAUAUCAAUAGUUUCUCCAAAGAUGCGAUAACGAUGUUCUGAGUAGGAAAUCACCUGGGUAUUUCCUCCGCUCACAUACAGGACAGUUGGGUUAACGGCUCCAGUGAUGAGACGGCCCAUUUCAAUGUGGCCUAUGCAGUGGUUCACGCCAAGCAAAGGCUUAUUCCACAACUGGGUCACUGUACGGGCAACAACAGCUACAGAAGCCAAUGGGGCUCCCAUGCCAGGACCUUUGGUGAAAGCAAUGCAAUCAAUGUCCUUGGAGGUUAAUCCUGUCUCUGUUAGCGCCUCCUGCAGUAGGUCUAGGAUAACAGCUCGAUGGUGCCUGGCCGUGUCACCUGGAAAGAAUCCCGUGCCCGGGGCCGUGACAUAAGUGCGCCCCGGGUUCGCCAGCACCGUGCCGUCGCGGACCACGCCCACGCCGAUCUUGUUGGCGCUGCCUUCGAACCCCAGUACCGCGGGCAUGGUGCCUCACGGCUCCCGAUCGUGGGGCCGAGUGACGAGCUGUAACUGGCACCAAAGCAGU